rnacentral:misc_RNA from 1 species
UUAGGAACUGGGUAGGUUACUGAUUUGGUUAUUUAUUGAGAAUGGGAAAUGAGAAAACCUGGUCAAAUACUGGUUAAACCAAGCAGUUGGAUUGUUAAUUAGUAAACCCAGCCAAAAAGCGCAAAGUUUUGCAAGCAGGAGCAGUUUGGCCCUAGAACUGGCAUAUUUCUUAUCAAGCCCUCCUUCCAGCCCCAAAGAAGCUAAUAAUAGUCAUACUAUUUAUUCAAAAAUUUUUUUUGCUCCUGUGUGCAAUAUGAUAUAUUAAUUUCGAUAUGGUUCACAGAGGGUCACUUUUGGUUGGAUCUCUGGUUCUCUACUCUCUUCCUUCUAUAGUUGUUUGAAAAGAUUGCUAGUGUUUGAAGACAAUAAUUCAUACCCAAUUUGAUUUUCUAGGUAAUUGUGUUCAGAGCUCUGGGAGAAAAACCAUGCUACUUACAUUCUUCCAUUGAUUAAGGACAUUCUUAUACCUUGAAAAGAGAACCAACAUUAUGGUCUGAUCAUUAG